AAAAAAACUUGAAACCAACAAAAACAAUGGAAAACCACAAGCAGCUUUGCAAUGGAAAAAAGAUAAUAUUAAAAGCAACAUGGCAACGGAACAUCAACUGACAGAGAUUACGGAUAGCGAUGACUUGAGGGAACUCCAGCGGCUAUAUCUGAGAGACUGGCCGAGGCACUGCGUGGGCUACUUCUGGCUGGACAACUAUUUGAGGUGGCUGAAAGAAGAUCCACAAAUCAGGCACCUGGCCUUCUACACGCUGGACACUGACUGGCAGAGCGACGGGUUGUUUCUACUCGUGCAUCGCUACCAACUGUUCUUUUGUAACCUGAGCAGACGCGGGCCACAGCUGGAACUGGCGCUGAGGCUGCUGGACUGGUCUGGCGGCUACAAAGUGAGCGCGAUACACGAGGAGCAUCAUCUGGUGUACAGGCAGCUGCUGGCAGAGCUUCAGCUAGGAAUCGAUCGAGAGAUGAACACAAUUAUGUUCCGUCUGCCCUGGCAGGCGGCCACGCAACUGGACAUCGAGUGUCCCCCUGGCUACUACUUGGAAAAAGUGCGGCUGGAGCAUGCGGAGCUCAUCAAUGAUCUGUGGUCUGCCCGUCAUCCAGGCAGCCUGUAUCUCAUUCAACUGCUGAUUGCAAAUAAUACAAAUAUGGGACUGUAUGAAAAGGAAACUGGAUUGCUGUGUGCCUGGUGUUUGAGACUGCAGAGUGGCUUCCUGGGCGCCCUGGAGGUACGUAAAUCCCACCAACGUCGCGGCCUGGGCGUGGUUGUAGCCGCUGCCAUUUCCCAAGCCAUAGCCAGGGACCUGCAGCAGGAUGUGACGGCUCUAGUAAAUUUAAGCAACGAGGCUGCCUGCCGCCUGUUCCAGAAACUGCAGUUUACGUUGGUGCAGGGCGAGCACUACUACUGGAGCAUGAGCCUACCCAAAGCGGGCGGCCAGAUAGACUGGCCCAACAAUGAAUAAACACUGAUAGCAGAUAAAGGGAUCUGAUAAACCUGAUAAAGCUGAUAAAGACGCAGACGUAGGCCAAACAUCCAUAAAAUGUCCAAAGGGUUCCACAUUUGGCGGAUAGUUGCGAGAAUGGUGUUCCUCCAGAAAGUGGGCAGCCAGGACCUGGAGCAUCUGCUGAAACUGUACUCGUGCGACCAGCCCAAGUACUGCACGGAGCUCCAAUGUCUGGACAAU